UGGGGGUAUUUCCGGCACAUUGGUGUGCUCGGAUUAAUGUUACGAAAAACCAAUGUAAAGAUAUGAGCAAAAUGGCCUAAUAGGGCUUCGUUUUGCCGCAGGUAGCAAACGAAGAGGCUAAAAAUCCCAAGAAAAUCGUUGUAGCAUCCUAGUAUGUCUACGAGGUGGGUUGUAGCACACUGGACCUGUCACGCCCCGGGACC
rnacentral:lncRNA from 1 species